rnacentral:ncRNA from 1 species
CAUAGGUUUGGUCCUGGCCUUUUUAUUAACUCUUAGUAGACUUACACAUGCAAGUAUCCUCGCUCCAGUGAGAAUGCCCUCUAUCUCCAUCAAGGAUCAAAAGGAGCAGAUAUUAAGUUCGCUCAUAAGAGCUGCUCAUGACAUCUUGCUACACCACACCCCCACGGGACACAGCAGUGAUUAAAAUUAAGAUAUAAACGAAAGUUUGACUAAGUUAUACUAACAUUUAGGGUUGGUAAAUUUCGUGCCAGCCACCGCGGUCAUACGAUUAACCCUAGUUAAUAAAGCACGGCGUAAAGCGUGAUUAAGGUUCUAUCCUAAAUAAGAUUAAGCUUUGACUAAGCUGUAAAAAGCCUUAGUUAACAUAAAAAUAUAAAACGAAAGUAAUCUUAUAUCUCCUGAACUCACGAUAGCUAAGACCCAAACUGGGAUUAGAUACCCCACUAUGCUUAGCCCUAAACAUAGACACUCAAUUAACAAGACUGUUCGCCAGAGGACUACUAGCUACUGCUUAAAACUCAAAGGACUUGGCGGUGCUUUACAUCCCUCUAGAGGAGCCUGUUCUAUAAUCGAUAAACCCCGUUAAACCUCACCACUCUUUGCAAUAUCAGCCUAUAUACCGCCAUCUUCAGCAAACCCUAACAAGGCACUAUAGUAAGCACAAUAAUUUUACAUAAAAACGUUAGGUCAAGGUGUAGCCUAUAGAGUGGAAAGAAAUGGGCUACAUUUUCUAAUUUUCUAGAAUAUACACGAUAGCAAUCAUGAAAUAUGAUUAAGCCCAAGGCGGAUUUAGUAGUAAGUUAGGAAUAGAGUGCCUAACUGAACUGGGCAAUAAAGCACGCACACACCGCCCGUCACCCUCUUCAAGCACCUAAGGUUACUUCACAUAACUAAUAAACUAUUCCUCAAAUGCAAGAAGAGAUAAGUCGUAACAAGGUAAACAUACUGGAAAGUGUGUUUGGAAUACC